UGCUCCUAGUACGAGAGGACCGGAGUGGACGCAUCACUGGUGUUCGGGUUGUCAUGCCAAUGGCACUGCCCGGUAGCUAAAUGCGGAAGAGAUAAGUGCUGAAAGCAUCUAAGCACGAAACUUGCCCCGAGAUGAGUUCUCCCUGACUCCUUGAGAGUCCUGAAGGAACGUUGAAGACGACGACGUUGAUAGGCCGGAUGUGUAAGCGCAGCGAUGCGUUGAGCUAACCGGUACUAAUGAACCGUGAGGCUUAACCUUACAACGCCGAAGGUGUUU
rnacentral:rRNA from 1 species